rnacentral:rRNA from 1 species
CAGCCGCCACGGUAAUACGUAGGUCCCGAGCGUUGUCCGGAUUUAUUGGGCGUAAAGCGAGCGCAGGCGGUUAGAUAAGUCUGAAGUUAAAGGCUGUGGCUUAACCAUAGUACGCUUUGGAAACUGUUUAACUUGAGUGCGAGAGGGGAGAGUGGAAUUCCAUGUGUAGCGGUGAAAUGCGUAGAUAUAUGGAGGAACACCGGUGGCGAAAGCGGCUCUCUGGCUUGUAACUGACGCUAAGGCUCGAAAGCGUGGGGAGCAAACAGGAUUAGAUACCCCGGUAGUCCCUGUCUCUUAUACC